CAGGAAAACAUGCAAACUCCACACAGAACCACGGUAGAGCUGAACUCAAGACCUUCUUCCUGUGCGGUAACGGUGCUAACCACUGUGCCGCCCGCAUAAGAGGAGAGCCACUGAGGGAACGCCUUCCGCCCUUCCGACGCCUCCACCGUGACUCCACUUCUGAGAGGAAUUGCCUACAGAUCAAGCAUGGAGUGUGCCUGAAUGGACAUACAGAACUCCAAGGUUCGGCCCGGUGUUGAGGGUUUUCCCAAAGGUGAGGGCCCGGCGGGCGGUGCCUCACAGCCCUCCGCCUCUGGGAGUGGCCCAUUUCUACUAAGGAGGCAAGAGGUGGCCAGGAGUCUGUCAGCGAGUUCUGCAUGUCCUGGUGACCCUCCACCUGUUUCACAGGUCGUUGGACUGUGGCAGGAAGCCGGAGUACAAGGAAAGAACCCACGCAAAAACAGGAAGAACAUGCAAACUCCACACAGAACCACGAAGAGGAGAGCCACUGAGGGAACGCCUUCCGCCCUUCCGACGCCUCCACCGUGACUCCACUUCUGAGAGGAAUUGCCUACAGAUCAAGCAUGGAGUGUGCCUGAAUGGACAUACAGAACUCCAAGGUUCGGCCCGGUGUUGAGGGUUUUCCCAAAGGUGAGGGCCCGGCGGGCGGUGCCUCACAGCCCUCCGCCUCUGGGAGUGGCCCAUUUCUACUAAGGAGGCAAGAGGUGGCCAGGAGUCUGUCAGCGAGUUCUGCAUGUCCUGGUGACCCUCCACCUGUUUCACAGUGUCACAGGGGAACUCGAGCCUAUCCCAGCUAUCUUAGGGCGAGAAGCAGGGUACACCCUCCACAGGUCGUUGGACUGUGGCAGGAAGCCGGAGUACAAGGAAAGAACCCACGCAAAAACAGGAAGAACAUGCAAACUCCACACAGAACCACGGUAGAGCUAAACUCAAGACCUUCUUCCUGUGCGGUAACGGUGCUAACCACUGUGCCGCCCGCAUAAGAGGAGAGCCACUGAGGGAACGCCUUCCGCCCUUCCGACGCCUCCACCGUGACUCCACUUCUGAGAGGAAUUGCCUACAGAUCAAGCAUGGAGUGUGCCUGAAUGGACAUACAGAACUCCAAGGUUCGGCCCGGUGUUGAGGGUUUUCCCAAAGGUGAGGGCCCGGCGGGCGGUGCCUCACAGCCCUCCGCCUCUGGGAGUGGCCCAUUUCUACUAAGGAGGCAAGAGGUGGCCAGGAGUCUGUCAGCGAGUUCUGCAUGUCCUGGUGACCCUCCACCUGUUUCACAGUGUCACAGGGGAACUCGAGCCUAUCCCAGCUAUCUUAGGGCGAGAAGCAGGGUACACCCUCCACAGGUCGUUGGACUGUGGCAGGAAGCCGGAGUACAAGGAAAGAACCCACGCAAAAACAGGAAGAACAUGCAAACUCCACACAGAACCACGGUAGAGCUGAACUCAAGACCUUCUUCCUGUGCGGUAACGGUGCUAACCACUGUGCCGCCCGCAUAAGAGGAGAGCCACUGAGGGAACGCCUUCCGCCCUUCCGACGCCUCCACCGUGACUCCACUUCUGAGAGGAAUUGCCUACAGAUCAAGCAUGGAGUGUGCCUGAAUGGACAUACAGAACUCCAAGGUUCGGCCCGGUGUUGAGGGUUUUCCCAAAGGUGAGGGCCCGGCGGGCGGUGCCUCACAGCCCUCCGCCUCUGGGAGUGGCCCAUUUCUACUAAGGAGGCAAGAGGUGGCCAGGAGUCUGUCAGCGAGUUCUGCAUGUCCUGGUGACCCUCCACCUGUUUCACAGUGUCACAGGGGAACUCGAGCCUAUCCCAGCUAUCUUAGGGCGAGAAGCAGGGUACACCCUCCACAGGUCGUUGGACUGUGGCAGGAAGCCGGAGUACAAGGAAAGAACCCACGCAAAAACAGGAAGAACAUGCAAACUCCACACAGAACCACGGUAGAGCUAAACUCAAGACCUUCUUCCUGUGCGGUAACGGUGCUAACCACUGUGCCGCCCGCAUAAGAGGAGAGCCACUGAGGGAACGCCUUCCGCCCUUCCGACGCCUCCACCGUGACUCCACUUCUGAGAGGAAUUGCCUACAGAUCAAGCAUGGAGUGUGCCUGAAUGGACAUACAGAACUCCAAGGUUCGGCCCGGUGUUGAGGGUUUUCCCAAAGGUGAGGGCCCGGCGGGCGGUGCCUCACAGCCCUCCGCCUCUGGGAGUGGCCCAUUUCUACUAAGGAGGCAAGAGGUGGCCAGGAGUCUGUCAGCGAGUUCUGCAUGUCCUGGUGACCCUCCACCUGUUUCACAGUGUCACAGGGGAACUCGAGCCUAUCCCAGCUAUCUUAGGGCGAGAAGCAGGGUACACCCUCCACAGGUCACCAGUCUGUUGCAGAGCUAACACAUAGACACAGAAAACCAUUCGCACCUGUGGGCGAUUUAGACUUUUCAACUAACCUCUUGCCACUAA